UACAGAGGUCCCAAGCGUUGUUCGGAUUCACUGGGCGUAAAGGGUGCGUAGGUGGCCAGGUAAGUUCGGUGUGAAAGCUCGGAGCUUAACUCCGAAAUGGAAUUGAAUACUAUCUGGCUAGAGGUUCGGAGGGGAGACUGGAAUUCUCGGUGUAGCAGUGAAAUGCGUAGAUAUCGAGAGGAACACCAGUGGCGAAGGCGGGUCUCUGGGCAAUAACUGACGCUGAGGAGCGAAAGCGUGGGGAGCGAACAGG
rnacentral:rRNA from 1 species